rnacentral:piRNA from 1 species
GGUUUGGAAUGGAACAGGAGUAUACUC